rnacentral:rRNA from 1 species
AGUGAACGCUGGCGGUAGGCCUAACACAUGCAAGUCGAACGGCAGCACAGUAAGAGCUUGCUCUUACGGGUGGCGAGUGGCGGACGGGUGAGGAAUACAUCGGAAUCUACUUUUUCGUGGGGGAUAACGUAGGGAAACUUACGCUACUACCGCAUACGACCUACGAGUGAAAGCAGGGGAUCUUCGGACCUUGCGCGAUUGAAUGAGCCGAUGUCGGAUUAGCUAGUUGGCGGGGUAAAGGCCCACCAAGGCGACGAUCCGUAGCUGGUCUGAGAGGAGGAUCAGCCACACUGGAACUGAGACACGGUCCAGACUCCUACGGGAGGCAGCAGUGGGGAAUAUUGGACAAUGGGGGCAAGCCUGAUCCAGCCAUACCGCGUGGGUGAAGAAGGCCUUCGGGUUGUAAAGCCCUUUUGUUGGGAAAGAAAAGCAGCAGGUUAAUACCCCGCUGUUCUGACGGUACCCAAAGAAUAAGCACCGGCUAACUUCGUG